rnacentral:lncRNA from 1 species
AGAGAACGCCGCAUUUUUAUCACACGCAUGCAUAAAACCGGCCUAAGAUUUUCCGUUUUUUGAGCGAUAUGUACAGGUUAUGUUUAUUUGUUACAUUUGUGUAUGAAUAAUAAUCGUUAAUAUUGAUUGAAAUAAAAUAAAAAAUAAAAGUGAUGAAUCGGACUGCUAUUAUACUGAAACGUGCAUAUGAAAUAAACUUAGAGGUAAGUUUUCUAUAAUAUAAUAUAGCUCUUUAAAUUUUACACCUAAUAUUUUUGUUGAUCAAGAAGACGUAGCUAGUUCAUCCGCGAUGGAUUUGAAUAAUUCUUUAGAGAAUCACAGUGCAAAUGAUUUAUAUCAGGUAAAUCCUGGUUUUAUUGAAGUGGAGCAUGAUCAGUUACUACCAUCUCAGCCAGUUUGCCUUCACACUCAUUAGUAGUAGCAAGCAAUGACGACCAGGUAUAAUAGGAAAAUAUGUACAUUUUGUUUGUCAAAAUGGAUUGAUAUCUUUACAUACGGUAGAUAAAAACCCGGCAUGCUCUUUAAUUCGAAUAAAAUUCAAUGCGUGAUUCUUUUGGUGACGUCAGUCGGGGUACACAUAAAUUAUUGAUGUACUAAAAAUUGAAAGUGGAUUUCA